UGACCCAGCAGGGUCUGCAAGCUCAGAUCCCCAGAUGUCCACAGUGGAACAGACCCAGGGAUCAUCGACUGGAGAAUCCGUUCAGGAACCGGCUUCUGUCCCAGUGGGAGACACAUCCUCAGAUCCUGCCUCCGUACCAACUGAGGAAGCCCAGGAAGCAGCCGAACCCCAGGAACCAGCUGAACUCCAGGAAACACUCGAACCCCAGGAAACAGC